AUUAUUAAAAAGUCAAGGGACACAUGUUCUCAGGACCUUCUGAGGGCUGAUCACUCAUAUUUGGCUCAGAAAAAUCUCUUUUAAUAUAUUACAGAGUUUGACUCUUUUUGUCCACAAUAAUUUGGUGCCUGAACACGUGAGGCCUCAGAUAAGACUCAGGACCUCAAAGGAGUUGUCUCAACCUGGAGCUAAGGUACCAGCAGGGGCCCACUGAAAGCCUCCAGGAUUUUGAGCUUCUUCUCUGCCAGAAGUGGAAGUUGUUGUUUAAGGAUCCUACUUCUAGUUGGGAGAUACAUUCUAAAGGGUCUUCUCCAUUGCUUUUCUCCCCAAAUUAAUCUCGAUUUGGCUUGUCUGUUCACAUUUGCAUGAGGAACUGAACUGUUGUUUUCAUAGGGAAACGAGAGACUGUGUCUCCUCAGCUUAAAAAAGAAAGGGCAUUUUGCUCCUCCCAGCCAAAAUGUGGGAAGUGAUGAGGGGGGCUUGUGGGAGUGUCUGGGGGUGGGUGGACCCCAUCGUGAUGUGAGUGGCCUACAGGGAACACCCAACAAAAUGAGUUUUAAAAAGGCUUGUCCAGGAAGCACAUAUGGGAGCUGGUCACUCUGCAUUUUGGGCCCUCCUGGAGGUGUUUAGACCUUCGGAGAGAGAAACUGAGACACAUGAGAGGGAAGAAAUGACUCAGUGGUGAGACCCUGUGGAGUCCCACCCACAACCAGCACACUGUGACCCACUGCACAAACCUCUAGCCCACAGCUCACUUCCUCCUUUAAGAAGAGAAGAGAAAAGAAAAGAAGAGGAGAGGAGAGGAGGAAGAGAAAAGAAAAGAAAAGAAAAAGUGGGAAACAAAUAAUCUAAGAAUGAGGAGAAAGCAAGAAGAGUGACCCCCUUGUGGGCACUCCAUUGGUUUUAUGGUGCCUCUGCUUGCUGGAGUUUGUGUAAAACAAAAAUAGUAUGGUCUUUGUGCACAUUUACAUCAAGCUCAGCCUGGACGGCACAGCCAGAUGCAAGAUGCGUCUCUGCUGAUCUAAGUCUGCCUGCAGCAUGGACCUGGGUCUUCCCUGAAGCAUCUCCAGGGCUGAAGGGACGACUGCCAUGCCCUAAAGGAAUGAGAGCCAGGCUCCUGGGGAGGGCAGUUCCACUUCCUGUGUGGCUGCAGAUGACAAAACCCCAUGACAAGAAGGACCCAGCCUCCGAUUGGCCACACCCUGUGUGUCUCUGUCCUGCCAGCACCAAGGGCUCAUCCAUCCGCAGAGCAGGGCAGUGGGAGGAGACGCCAUGACCCCCAUCCUCAUGGUCCUGAUCUGUCUCGGGCUGAGUCUGGGCCCCAGGACCCACGUGCAGGCAGGGUCCCUCCCCAAGCCCACCCUCUGGGCUGAGCCAGGCUCUGUGAUCACCCAGGGGAGUCCUGUGACCCUCAGGUGUCAGGGGGGCCAGGAGACCCAGGAGUACCGUCUAUAUAGAGAAAAGAAAACAGCAUCCUGGAUUACACGGAUCCCACAGGAGCUUGUGAAGAAGGGCCAGUUCCCCAUCCCACCCAUCACCUGGGAAGACGCAGGGCGGUAUCGCUGUUACUAUGGUAGCCACACUGCAGGCCGGUCAGAGAACAGUGACCCUCUGGAGCUGGUGGUGACAGGAGCCUACAGCAAACCCACCCUCUCAGCUCUGCCCAGCCCUGUGGUGACCUCAGGAGGGAAUGUGACCCUCCAGUGUGUCUCACAGGUGGAAUUUGACGGCUUCAUUCUGUGUAAGGAAGGAGAAGAUGAACACCCACAAUGCCUGAACCAUGCCCGUGGGUCAUCCCGGGCCAUCUUCUCUGUGGGCCCCGUGAGCCCGAGUCGCAGGUGGUCGUACAGGUGCUAUGCUUAUGACUCGAGCUCUCCCUAUGUGUGGUCUUCACCCAGUGAUCUCCUGGAGCUCCUGGUCCUAGGUGUUUCUAAGAAGCCAUCACUCUCAGUGCAGCCGGGUCCUGUCGUGGCCCCUGGGGAGAAGCUGACCCUCCAGUGUGGCUCUGAUGCUGGUUACGACAGAUUUGUUCUGUAUAAGGACGGGGAACGUGACUUCCUCCAGCUCGCUGGCGCACAGCCCCAGGCUGGGCUCUCCCAGGCCAACUUCACCCUGGGCCCUGUGAGACCCUCCCACGGGGGCCAGUACAGAUGCUACGGUGCACACAACCUCUCCUCCGAGUGGUCGGCCCCCAGUGACCCCCUGGACAUCCUGAUCACAGGACAGAUCCCUGACAGACCCUCCCUCUCGGUGCAGCCGGGCCCCACAGUGGCCUCAGGAGAGAACGUGACCCUGCUGUGUCAGUCAUGGCAGCAGUUCCACACUUUCCUUCUGACCAAGGCAGGAGCAGCUGAUGCCCCCCUCCAUCUAAGAUCAACACAGAAAUCUCCUCAGUACCAGGCUGAAUUCCCCAUGAGUCCUGUGACCUCAGCCCACGCGGGGACCUACAGGUGCUACGGCUCACUCAACUCCGACCCCUACCUGCUGACUCACCCCAGUGAGCCCCUGGAGCUCGUGGUCUCAGGCCCUGAGGACCAGCCCCACACCCCCACCGGGUCGGAUCCCCAGAGUGCUCCGGGACUCGGCUCUGGUGCAGGAACAAGGGCUGCAGGUCUGGGAAGGCACCUGGGGGUUGUGAUCGGCAUCUUGGUGGCCGUCGUCCUCCUGCUCCUCCUCCUCCUCCUCCUGUUCCUCGUCCUCCGACACCGACGUCAGGGCAAACGCUGGACAUCGACCCAGAGAAAGGCUGAUUUCCAACAUCCUGCAGGGGCUGUGGGGCCAGAGCCCACAGACAGAGGCCUGCAGAGGAGGUCCAGCCCAGCUGCCGAUGCCCAGGAAGAAAACCUCUGUGAGUGAGAGGAAGAGGUGACCAGCCAGGAGGGAGAUGGGGGCCCCGAAGUUUCCGUAGCAAUGGGGAAAGCGGCACCGGCUGGAAAGGGUCUGGGGCUCAGGAUGCUGCCGUGAAGGACACACAGCCUGAGGACGGAGUGAAGCUGGACACUCGGGAGAGCCCACACGAUGAAGACCCCCAAGCAGUGACGUAUGCCAAGGUGAAACACUCCAGACCUAGGAGAGAAAUGGCCUCCCCUCCUUCCCCACUGUCCGAAGAAUUCCUGGACACAAAGGACAGACAGGCGGAAGAGGACAGGCAGAUGGACACUGAGCCUGCUGCAUCUGAAGCCCCCCAGGAUGUGACCUAUGCCCAGCUGAACAGCUUGACCCUCAGAUGGGAGGCAAUUGAGCCUCCUCCAUCCCAGGAAGGGCCCUCUCCAGCGGUGCCCAGCAUCUACGCCACUCUGGCCAUCCACUAGCCCAGGGGGGGACGCAGACCCCACACUCCACGGAGUCUGGAAUGCAUGGGAGCUGCCCCCCAGUGGACACCAUUGGACCCCAGCCAGCCUGGAUCUACCCCAGGAGACUCUGGGAACUUUUAGGGGUCACUCAAUUCUGCAGUAUAAAUAACUAAUAUCUCUACAAUUUUGAAAUAAAGCAACAGACUUCUCAAUAAUCAAUGAAGUAGCUGAGAAAACUAAGUCAGAAAGUGCAUUAAACUGAAUCACAAUGUAAAUAUUACACAUCAAACGAUGAAAUUGGAAAACUACAAGCCACGAAUGAAUGAAUUAGAAAAGAAAAAAAGUAGGAAAUGAAUGAUCUUGGCUUUCCUAUAAGAAAUUUAGGGCAGGGCGCGAUGGCUCACGCCUGUAAUUCCAGCACUUUGGGAGGCCGAGGCGGGCAGAUCACGAGUUCAGGAGAUCGAGACCAUCCUGGCCAACAUGGUGAAACCCUGUCUCUCCUAAAAAUACAAAAAUUAGCUGGGUGUGGUGGUGGGCGUGCCUGUAAUCCCAGCUAUUUGGCAGGCUGAGUCAGGAGAAUCGCUUGAACCAGGGAGUCAGAGGUUUCAGUGAGCCAAGAUCGCACCACUACUCUCCAGCCUGGCGACAGAGGGAGACUCCAUCUCAAAUUAAAAAAAAAAAAAGAAAGAAAGAAAAAGAGAAAAAAGAAAUUUAGAAGAAUAACAAGUUAUUCCAAAUGAAGGCAUAAGAAAGGGAAUAAUAACAAUAAUAAGAGGAGUUGUUCAUGAGGAAAAACCAAAGCUUGAAAAUUCAACAAAGCCAGUGAAGCUCAUUCUUGAAAACAUGAAUCACACUCAUGAAUUCUAACUACAAUGAGCAAGAGAAAGAAAGAGCAGGCACGCAUUUCCAUAUGGGAGUGAGUCAGCAGACAGCCCUACAGAUCCUACACACAUUUUCAAAAACUAACAAUGGAACAGGCGGCAAACCUAUGCCAACAUAUUAGAAAUUGCAGAUUAAAUAGAUGAAAUAUUCUAAACUGGAGUUUACGUAAUGAACAUAAGAGUAAUCAGAGAAUCUGACUCAUUUUAGAUGUGUAUGUGUGUAUAUAUGUGUGUGUGUGUGAAAAACAUUGAUUAUAAUAAAAAUGAUCCCAUGGUAUAAACUCGA